rnacentral:rRNA from 1 species
GCCUACGGGAGGCAGCAGUGGGGAAUCUUGCGCAAUGGCCGAAAGGCUGACGCAGCGACGCCGCGUGUGGGAGGACGCCCUUCGGGGUGUAAACCACUGUUGCCCGGGACGAACAUCCUCUUUCGAGGGGACUGACGGUACCGGGUGAGGAAGCACCGGCUAACUCCGUGCCAGCAGCCGCGGUAAUACGGAGGGUGCGAGCGUUGUCCGGAAUCACUGGGCGUAAAGGGCGCGUAGGCGGCGCGGGAAGUCAUCGGUGAAAGUUCAGGGCUCAACUCUGAAUCGGCCGGUGAUACUCUCGUGCUCGAGCACUGUAGAGGCAGGUGGAAUUCCGGGUGUAGCGGUGGAAUGCGUAGAGAUCCGGAAGAACACCGGUGGCGAAGGCGGCCUGCUGGGCAGUAGCUGACGCUGAUGCGCGACAGCGUGGGGAGCAAACAGGAUUAGAUACCCCGGUAGC